rnacentral:rRNA from 1 species
UGCCAGCCGCCGCGGUAAUACGGAGGGUGCGAGCGUUAAUCGGAAUUACUGGGCGUAAAGCGGGCGCAGGCGGUCUGUCAAGUCGGGUGUGAAAGCCCAGGGCUCAACCCUGGAACUGCAUCCGAAACUGGCAAACUUGAGUACGAGAGAGGGAGGCGGAAUUCCUGGUGUAGAGGUGAAAUUCGUAGAUAUCAGGAGGAACACCAGCGGCGAAGGCGGCUUCCUGGCUCGAUACUGACGCUCAUGCCCGAAAGCGUGGGGAGCAAACAGGAUUAGAUA